UACAGAGGUCUCAAGCGUUGUUCGGAUUCAUUGGGCGUAAAGGGUGCGUAGGCGGCGCGGUAAGUCGGGUGUGAAAUCUCGGGGCUUAACUCCGAAACUGCAUUCGAUACUGCCGUGCUUGAGGACUGGAGAGGAGACUGGAAUUUACGGUGUAGCGGUGAAAUGCGUAGGUAUCGUAAGGAAGACCAGUGGCGAAGGCGGGUCUCUGGACAGUUCCUGACGCUGAGGCACGAAGGCCAGGGGAGCAAACGGG
rnacentral:rRNA from 1 species